GACCAGAAGGUGGUGUAGUGGUAACACAUCCUCUAUGAGUCCGGAGUUUGAAAGGGAUGUUACGAGGAAAUCCCCGGUUCAAAUCCGGGCAGGCCA